AUAUAUAUAUAUAUAUAUAUAUAUAAUAAUAAAUAAAUAAAAAAUAAAUAAAAAUAUAUAAGCUUGUUUUACUCCAAUGUUUGUAAACAAAGAAAAUGGAAACAAACACUAUAUAGCCUCAGAACAUGGUUAAAAAUAAUGCUGUCUAUGAAUUUCAGUGGUUAUAUUUUUCCAGACCCAUCCCUCAGCUUAUUACAGAACCAGGGGUGGGGCAACCACUUUACUAUUGUUUCUACUUCUGAUUGCCGCUUUAAGUUUUGUAACUUGUAUAUGUACUUUUUGUCCAUAGGGCAAAGAAAGAGGAGCUGAAAUGUUGACAUCAUGGUGAUCACUGCUCAAAUAACACUGUUGGCCGAGUCUGAAGUAGUUUAUUCUGUUAUUGUAGACCUAUAGAAUAGAUACUUUAUUGUCCAUUGGUUAGAGUGGAAAUUUGUCUCCUGCCUUUCCCAACACCCCAGAUAUGCACUCGUAGAAAAAGGGUUCCAAAAGGGUUCUUCAGCUGUUCCCAUAGGAGAACACUUUUUGGUUCUAGGUAGAACCCUUUUGGGUUCCAUGUAAAAAACCUCUGUUAGGUUCUACCAGGAAAUAAAACGUGUUCUUUAAAGGAUUCUCCUAUGGGGACAGCCAAAGAACCCUUUUAGGUUCUAGAUAGCACCUUUUUUUCUAAGAGUGUACACACACACACACACACACACACACACACACACACACACACACACACACACACACACACACACACACACACACACACACACACACAUUGAGAGGCACAGGAUGAGCUGUAGUGCAGUGCCCUUGACGAAGAGCAAUUGUGGGGGGUUGAGUGCCUUGUCCAAGUGCACAAGGGCAGGAGAUGGUACAUGGGAUCAGAGGCCAGCAGCGUUCCAGCUGCCAGUUCAGUUCCAUUCCCAUGUUUGUGUUGCCUUGACUGGCUAAUGCCACCCUAUUGCCAGUUAUUUAUGAUUGUGAUAUGCUUACAGUACAGCUACAGCUAUGAUGGAAAGAGGUCAUUGAACCCUGACAGUUCUCGGAUGCUUGGCCGGGCACUCGCACAAACGGACUGAAGUGAGAGAAGCUAACAGAGGUUUUUGUACAGCCAUAUUUCACUGUGUGAAUGGAAGCUGUUCACUUUGUUGGCAGUAUUACUCAGCUUCAUCCUUAACCUGGACCUCUGUGAUAGUGAAGGUGGUGAGAGCUCCAUUCAAUAAGCCACUGAACCGACUAGAUGUGUAAGGAUACUUCUGGUUACUAUCAUGAAUGAGGCCUCUGGGUGCCUGCACAGGUUUGAACUGGUAAAGUGUCAUAUCGUUAUCAAUGUCUUGUGAGGCUCUACAGAGAAUUCGCACAGUGUCUCCAGGCUGGACAGAGAGGACUGGAGGGGACUGGUGCACUGUGAUUAUGUCCCAUAAACCUGCAAUCAGGACAAGGAGGACACAUUAGGACAAUACAGACAUUCUCACUCUACAAGAAACAUGGUAUAGAGGAGACGGACCCACUGGUUGCCCUCUAGGUUACAAAGAGCUGGCAGUCCCAUCCACCAAACUACCAGGUGUGAAACAGGGAAGAGACUCAGGGGGUAUGCUAAUGUGGUAUAGAGCAAACCUAACCCACUAUUAAAUUAGUCCAAACAGGAACAUUUUACUUCCGUCUCGAAAUUAAUAAGGAACAGAGAAAAAUGUCCUCAUGUGUGCUACCUAUAUCCCCCCAAUAGAAUCCCCAUACUUUAACAAUGACAACAUCCUAGACGGGGAAAUCAACCAUUUCCAGGCCCAGGGAGAUGUACUAGUCUGUGGUGACCUAAAUGCCAGAACUGGACAAGAACCUGACACUCUCAGCACACGGGGACAAAUACCUACCUGGAGGUGACAGCAUUCCCUCCCAAAUAUGCCCCAUAUAGACACAACUAUGACAAAACAACCAACAAAAACGGGUCACAACUCCUGCAGCUCUGUCGCAUGCUGGGUCUGUACAUAGUCAAUAGUAGGCUUCAAGGAGUCUCCUAUGCUAGGUGCAUCUACAGCUCAUUCCUUGGCAGUAGUACUGUAGAUUACUUAAUCACUGACCUCAACCCAGAGUCUCUCAGAGCAUUCACAGUCAGCCCACUGAAACCCCCAUCGCAGCAAAAUCACAGUCUAUUUGAACAGAGCAAUACUCUAUCAUGAGGCAUCAAACCAAAAGGAACUGCACAAUAUUAAUGCUAUAGAUGGAAGGAAGGUAGUGUAGAAAUCUACCAAACAACUAUUAGGCAAGAACAAAAUCAAUCCCUUUUAGAAAACUUCCUGGACAAAACAUGUCACUGUAAUAGUAAAGGUGUAAACCUGGCUGUAGAACGUCUAAACAGUAUAUUUAACAUUUUAGCUUUCCUAUCACAUCAAAAAAUGUCAAGGAGACAACCUAAGAAAAUUAAAAACAAUGACAAAUGGUUUGAUGAAGAAUGCAAAAACCUAAGAAAGAAAUUAACAAAAACAUAGAGACCCAGAAAACCUGAGUCUACGCCUUCGCUACGGUGAAUCACUAAAACAACACAAAAAUACACUACGGAAAAAUCAGGAACAGCACGUAAGAAACCUUCUGCACAGACAUCAGCCGUUUUUUUAAGCCUGGAUAAUACUUGCCAGCCUGCCAGUAUCGGACUGUUUUCUCCACUACAACGCCGGAUUCCUGCCGUAAGCCCUGGACCAUUAUUCCUGAUCAUCACAGCUAGCUAGCUAGCUGCCACCAAGUGACCCAGCCCCGAAGCUAGCUCUGAGCCAGGCCCACCUCCCGGCCUACUCAGUGAUCACUCGGCUACACAGCUGAUGCCUCCCGGACUCUACCCCAACACGGCUAGAAUCCACUACUCCACCGGAUCCUUGCCAUAAGCUCUGGACCUUUGCAUCGGAUCAUCGCUGCUAGUUAGCUGCUACCGAGUGGCUAUAGUGGCUAACGCCCCUUCCCCGAAGCUAGCACCAGUUAGCCGCGAGCCAGGCGCAUCUCCCGGCUAGCAAACUAAAUUACUACAACUACAAUACCCCUUUCGCCAUCUGGCCUGGAUCCUUUGUCGACACGGUGCCCCGCCGUACCACCACGACUGGUCUGCCGACGGAACUCCAUCCGCUGGUCCCUCAACCGGCCUUUGCCGGACGUCGGAGCAGACGCUUCUACUAACCCCGGCCUGCUAACUUUAAACGCUGUGUCUCCCGCUUGCUAGCAUAGUAACGACUACCCUGCGGCUUCUCUGUUCCAUCUAUUGCUGUUCACUGGACCCUAUGAUUACUUGGCUACAUAGCUGAUGCCUACUGGACUGUUCAUUAAUCACGGUACUCCAUUUUGUUUAUUUUUUUGUUUAUCUGUCAGCCCCAGCCUCAAACUCAGGCCGUGUGUGAGGUUAACUGACCCUCUCUGCCCAUUCAUGGCCAUUUUACCUGUCGUUGUUGUCUUAGCUGAUUAGCUGUUGUUGUCUUACCCGUCGUUGUCUUAGCUAGCUCUCCCAAUCAACACCUGUGAUUGCUUUAUGCCUCGUUUUAUGUCUCUCUCAAAUGUCAAUGUGCCUUGUAUACUGUUGUUUAGGAUAGUUAUCAUUGUUUUAGUUUACUGCGGAGCCCCUAGUCCCACUCAAAAUGCCUCAGAUACCUCCUUUGUCCACCUCCCACACAUGCGGUGACCGCAUCCAGCAUAACUAGCGCGUCCAGAGAUGCAACCUCUCUUAUCAUCACUCAGUGCCUGGGUUUACCUCCACUGUACCCUCACCCCACCAAACCCCUGUCUGUACAUUAUGCCCUGAAUCUAUUCUACCACAACCAGAAAUCUGCUCCUUUUAUUCUCUGUCCCCAACACACUAGACAACCAGUUUUGAUAGCCUUUAGCCGUACCCUCAUCCUACUCCUCCUCUGCUCCUCGGGUAAUAUGGAGGUUAAUCCAGGCCCUGCAUGUCCCAAGGCACUCUCAUUUGUUGACUUCUGUAACUGAAAAAGCCUUGGUUUCAUGCAUGUUAACAUCAGAAGCCUCCUCCCUAAGUUUGUUUUCCUCACUGCUUUAGCACACUCCGCCAACCCUGAUGUCCUUGCCGUGUCUGAAUCCUGGCUUAGGAAGGCCACCAAAAAUUCUGAGAUUUCCAUACCCAACUACAACAUUUUCAGUCAAGAUAGAACUGCCAAAGGGGAGGAGUUGCAAUCUAUUCCAGAGAUAGCCUGCAAAGUUCUGUCAUACUUUCCAGGUCUAUGUCCAAACAGUUUGAGCUUCUAAUUUAAAAAAAUGAAACUCUCCAGUCUCUCACUGUUGCUGCCUGUUAUAGACCUCCCUCUGCUCCCAGCUGUGCCGUGGACACCAUAUGUGAAUUGAUUGACCCCCAUCUAUCUUCAGAGUUUGUUCUGUUAGGUGACCUAAACUGGGAUAUGGCUUAACACCCCGGCAGUCCUACAAUCUAAGCUAGAUGCCCUCAAUCUCACACAAAGUAUCAAGGAACCCACCAGGAACAACCCUAAAUCCGUAAACAUGGGCACCCUCAUAAAUAUUAUCCUGACCAACUUGCCCUCCAAACCACUCUACUGUUUUCAAUCAGGAUCUCAGCAAUCACUGCCUCAUUGCCUGCAUCUGCUAUGAGUCCGUGGUCAAACGACCACCCCUCAUCAUUGUCAAACGCUCCCUGAAACACUUGUGCAAGCAGGCCUUUUAAUCGACCUGGCCCGGGUAUCCUGGAAGGAUAUUGACCUCAUCCUGUCAGUCGAGGAUGCCUGGUCGUUCUUUAAAAGUAAUUUCCUCACCAUCUUAAAUAAGCAUGCCCCUUUCAAAAAAUGUAGAACUAAGAACAGAUAUAGCCCUUGGUUCACUCCAGACCUGACUGCCCUCGACCAGCACAAAAACAUCCUGUGGCGGACUGCUCUAGCAUCGAAUAGUCCCCAUGAUAUGCAACUUUUCAGGAAAGCCAGAUACCAAUACAUGCAGUCAGUCAGGAAAGCAAAGACCAGCUUUUUCAAACAGAAAUUUGCAUCCUGUAGCUCUAACUCCAAAAGGUUUUGCGACACUUUAAAGUCCAUGGAGAAUAAGAGCACCUCCUCCCAGCUGCCCACUGCACUGAGGCUAGGAAACACUGUCACCACCGAUAAAUUUACGUUAAUCGAUCAUUUCAAUAAGCAUUUUUCUACGGCUGGCCAUGCUUCCAUCUGGCUACCCCUACCUCGGGCCAACAUCUCAGCACCCCCUGCAGCAACUUGCCCAAACCCCCACCCCUGCUUCUUCACCCAAAUCCAGAAAAAACUGCAAAAGCUGGAUCCCUAUAAAUCAGCUGGGCUAGACAAUCUGGACCCUCUCUUUCUAAAAUUAUCCGCCAAAAUUGUUGCAACCCCUAUUACUAGCCUAUUCAACCUCUCUUUCGUAUCGUCUGAGAUCCCCAAAGAUUGGAAAGCUGCCGUGGUCACCCCCCUCUUCAAAGGGGAAGACACUCUAGACCCAAACUGUUAUAGACCUAUAUCCAUCCUGCCCUGCCUUUCUAAAAUCUUUGAAAGCCAAGUUAAUAAACAGAUCACCGACCAUUUCGAAUCCCACCGUACCUUCUCACUAUGCAAUCUGGUUUCCGAGCUGGUCAUGGGUGCACCUCAGCCACGCUCAAAGUCCUAAAUGGUAUCAUAACUGUCACGGCUCCUCCUCUGCAGUGCAGGGGUGGUUCCCCCUGCAGGCAGAGGAGGGUCGUUAGUGAUUGCAGCUGGUGUGAUUGGAGCCACCUGGGCUCAGGGUAUUUAACCAAGUGCUCCACUAACCUCUCUCUGGUCUGGCUGGUCUGGCUCCUCGCUGAGCUGCUGGCUCGCUCGCUGGGCUGCUGGCUCGCUCGCUGGGCUUUCUCCCUUUCUCCCUUUCUCCCUUUCUCCCUUUCUCCCUGCUCCUCCAGGUAUGAUCCGGUUUUGUUUGUUCCUUUGUAGAUGUAUUUAGUUUCCACUCAGUCAUGUUUACACAUACAUAUUCACGCAUCCAUGCACCUUACAUACACCUUACAUUAUGACAUUUCCACACCUCAUUCCUUUUUCUUUGUUUAUAGUUAAUAGUUUAUUUUUUUAUAAUAAAGAACGUUUUGAAUUGGCCUAUACCAGUUGUCGAUGUCCUCUCAUUUUUGCCACAGGCUAUGAGCCGGCCUGUGACAAGUGGGGGCUCAUCCACAAGUGGGGGCUCAUCCACAAGUGGGGGCUCAUCCGCAAGUUGUGACAAGUGGGGGCUCAUCCGCAAGUUGUGACAAGUGGGGGCUCAUCCGCAAGUUGUGACAAGUGGGGGCUCAUCCGCAAGUUAAGAAGACAGCCGUUACAGAACUACCCACCACCAAAGGACCAAGCAGCAGAAGAGGAGGAAGCCACAGGAGAAGAAAAUGGAAGAAUGGACCUGGCAGGACGAAAGAAAAUUCUGGGCGGACAAGUUAAGGGAGCUAAGGGAACCCGAGAGGCAGCCCCAAGAUUUUAUUUUGGGGGGGCACACGGGUAGUUUGGCCAGGCCAGGGAAGAGCCGUAAGCCAGCUACUCGUG
rnacentral:lncRNA from 1 species